UACGUAGGCAGCGAGCGUUUGUUCGGAGUUACUGGGCGUAAAGGGUGUGUAGGCGGUCCCUUAAGUUUGGUGUGAAAUCUCCCGGCUCAACUGGGAGGGUGCGCCGGAUACUGAGGGGCUAGAGUGCGGGAAGGGAAAGUGGAAUUCCUGGUGUAGCGGUGAAAUGCGUAGAUAUCAGGAGGAACACCGGUGGUGCAAACGGCUUUCUGGACCGUAACUGACGCUGAGACACGAAAGCGUGGGGAGCAAACAGG
rnacentral:rRNA from 1 species